GAUGAACGCUGGCGGCGUGCCUAAUACAUGCAAGUCGAGCGAACGGACGAGAAGCUUGCUUCUCUGAUGUUAGCGGCGGACGGGUGAGUAACACGUGGAUAACCUACCUAUAAGACUGGGAUAACUUCGGGAAACCGGAGCUAAUACCGGAUAAUAUUUUGAACCGCAUGGUUCAAAAGUGAAAGACGGUCUUGCUGUCACUUAUAGAUGGACCCACGGCGUAUUAGCUAGUUGGUGAGGUAAUGGCUCACCAAGGCGAUGAUACGUAGCCGACCUGAGAGGGUGAUCGGCCACACUGGGACUGAGACACGGCCCAG
rnacentral:rRNA from 1 species